AGACGGAGGGGGCUAGCGUUGUUCGGAAUUACUGGGCGUAAAGGGCGCGUAGGCGGUUAAUUAAGUCAGUUGUGAAAUCCCAGGGCUUAACCUUGGAACUGCAAUUGAUACUGAUUGACUGGAGUCGAAGAGAGGGAAGCGGAAUUUCCGGUGUGGCGGUGAAAUGCGUAGAUAUCGGAAGGAACACCCGUGGCGAAGGCGGCUUCCUGGCUUCAGACUGACGCUGAGGCGCGAAAGCGUGGGGAGCGAACAGGAUUAGAUACCCCAGUAGUCC
rnacentral:rRNA from 1 species